rnacentral:rRNA from 1 species
UACGUAGGGGGCAAGCGUUGUCCGGAUUUAUUGGGCGUAAAGAGCGUGUAGGCGGCCGUACAGGUCAGCUGUGAAAACUCGAGGCUCAACCUCGAGACGUCGGUUGAAACCGUACGGCUAGAGUCCGGGAGAGGUGAGUGGAACUCCGAGUGUAGAGGUGAAAUUCGUAGAUAUUCGGAAGAACACCAGUGGCGAAGGCGGCUCACUGGCCCGGUACUGACGCUGAGGUGCGAAAGCGUGGGGAGCAAACAGG